UACGGAGGGUGCGAGCGUUGUCCGGAAUCACUGGGCGUAAAGGGCGCGUAGGCGGCGCGGGUAGUCAUCGGUGAAAGUUCAGGGCUCAACUCUGAAUCGGCCGGUGAUACUCCCGUGCUCGAGCACUGUAGAGGCAGGUGGAAUUCCGGGUGUAGCGGUGGAAUGCGUAGAGAUCCGGAAGAACACCGGUGGCGAAGGCGGCCUGCUGGGCAGUAGCUGACGCUGAGGAGCGAAAGCAUGGGGAGCGAACAGG
rnacentral:rRNA from 1 species